rnacentral:tRNA from 1 species
UAUUUUUAAUUGACAUAGACCAAGGCCUCUAGUAAA